GACGAACGCUGGCGGCGUGCUUAACACAUGCAAGUCGAACGGAAAGGCCCUGCUUUUGUGGGGUGCUCGAGUGGCGAACGGGUGAGUAACACGUGAGUAACCUGCCCUUGACUUUGGGAUAACUUCAGGAAACUGGGGCUAAUACCGGAUAGGAGCUCCUGCUGCAUGGUGGGGGUUGGAAAGUUUCGGCGGUUGGGGAUGGACUCGCGGGUUAUCAGCUUGUUGGUGGGGUAGGGGCUUACCAAGGGUUCGACGGAUAGCCGGCCUGGGAGGGUGACCGGCGACAUGGGUACUGAGAGACGGACCAGUCUGCUACGGGAGGCAGCAGUGGGGAAUCUGGCAGAGUGGGGGGAAGCGUGAGGCGGCAGCCCUGGGAGCGGGAUGCCGGGCUACGGGUUGUAAACCGCUUUGUACGGUGACGAGCAGUGAGUGACGGUAAUGGAUAAAAAAGCACCGGCUAACUACGUG
rnacentral:rRNA from 1 species